rnacentral:rRNA from 1 species
GAUGAACGCUGGCGGCGUGCCUAAUACAUGCAAGUCGAGCGAACUGACGAGGAGCUUGCUCCUUUGACGUUAGCGGCGGACGGGUGAGUAACACGUGGGUAACCUACCUAUAAGACUGGAAUAACUCCGGGAAACCGGGGCUAAUGCCGGAUAACAUAUCGAACCGCAUGGUUCGAUAGUGAAAGACGGUCUUGCUGUCACUUAUAGAUGGACCCGCGCCGUAUUAGCUAGUUGGUGAGGUAACGGCUCACCAAGGCAACGAUACGUAGCCGACCUGAGAGGGUGAUCGGCCACACUGGAACUGAGACACGGUCCAG